rnacentral:lncRNA from 1 species
UAUUUCAGUUGCCACCAUUAAUGAAGAAAAUAUACUUAUGACUAAUGAUGUCUGUCAAGAGGGUAAGAUGCCUAUUCCAGCUCCAAUUGAAGCAAUAGAUAUAUUUGAUAGUGUUAAUAUCCUUAUAGAUUGUAGUAUACAUAUCAAAAAAUUGAUGGAGAUGAGUUAACACAGCUGUAACAACAAAUAGUAGAAUUAGAAUAAGAGUACGAUGAGGAAGAU